ensembl:misc_RNA Metazoa_SRP Metazoan signal recognition particle RNA
GCUGGGCAUGGUGGCGCAUGCCUGUAAUCCCAGCUACUUGGGAGGCUGAGGCAGGAGAAUUGCUUGCACCCAGGAGACGGAGGUUGCAGUGAGCUGAGAGUGCACCAUUGCACUCCAGCCUGAGUGACAGAAUGAGAUUCCGUCUCAA